UCAGAAUUUGACGCGAGAAGUAGCAACAAAGAGAGUGCCUCGUUAACCAUGUCCAAAUUUUUAUCUUCGAGUAAAUGCAGCAAAGGUGCAACGAUCCCUGCCUCAAUAGCCCUUGCCUUAUUUGCUUGGCAUAAGGACAGGAUUUCGACUAUGGCUGGAAUGGGUUGUUCUCUUGAUAUGAGUUUCUUGUUUGAUUCAUCAAUCGACAAAUUCAGUAGAGCUGUUACAGCAUGUUCUUGGAUUUUCGAAUCUGGAUAAGACAGGAGUUGAACCAGUGGUGGGAUUCCUCCGCUGUUAGCUACUAGAAUUCGGUUUUCUGGAUUCUCCCUAGAAAGCAUACGGAUCUUUCUAACUGCCUUUCUCUGCACUUCUAGCUGAUUAGAGGAUAGGUUUUGGACCACUGAGUAUAUCUCGUUAUUUUGUUCGACAUUGGAGUUGUCGGAGCUUGUGGGAGCUUCUUUCUUGGGAAGUGGGAAAUUGUUCUUCUCGCACCACUGCAAGAUUAAAUUUCGGAGGGCAAAGUUCGGAGCUAGCGACAAGUGAGCCAAAACUUGACCAGUUUUUGGGCAGGUUCGAUGAUCAGAAUCUAACCACUUCUGUAUGCUCUCUCUUUCGUACGUCUUCAAUGGAUCACAAUUCAAACAAGAAGUUAGUAUAUAUGCUCCUCAUGAUAUUUGGGGAAGUAUAGGAAACCACAAUCCUACUUGGUGAAGGUCAUGACAAAAAGUAAGCAUGUUUUUAUUCCCUUUCUUUGAGUAGAACCACAGAAAACAAAAUAGCUCGACUGUGGUAUAUGGAUUCUUUGAAAUGUAUAUGGUACCAGUAUUGGGGACUUGAGUUAGGGUGUGUGAUACGUGUCCCACAGUUUUAGUAGGGCACUCAACUAAAAGCAUAUUCAGUAUUCCAGUUUAAA